AAGAAGAAGAAAAAAAAUCCAACAGCAAAACAUCACUCCGACACAGAGUCCAGCCUCUCUUCAGGAGACUGGACCCAGAGCCCAGGACAUGUGUUGAGCCCGACUGUAUUUAGCCAGUAUCUUCCCCACCAAAGAGUUCGGCUGAUGAAGGCUUACUCAGUACGUAAGAUGCUGGUCACAAACCUGAGGAACCGUCCUUUGAACGACAGCAAUGUCGACUCCAUGUCCAACCUGGUCCUGAGCCUGUACCAUAACUUGGUCACCGGGGACAAGGAUUUUCCUUUCAUCCCCAUUAGAGGAAACUUCUGCUCAGACAAGUUGGUGACACCCUUUGCCCAAACGGGGCACACGGAGAAUGACACUCCGUCGCCACAUACAGUCUCACCACCUGGUGUGAUGGUGCCGCCUGCAGGCUCCAACUUUCCUCCUCAAUUCCUGACUCCUGCUCUUCCUGAGAAGGCAGAUGUUUAUGUGCUGAAGGCAGACCGGAGGAACUGUGUCAGCACUCUGAAUGUUGACGGCAAAGUUGUCACCAGAGUCAUCUCUACUGUCUACCACAAUGAAGACACUGAAAUGGCAAACCGAUGGAGAGUAACGGACUACAGCGCAGAAGGCAAUGUCCUCAUGUCAGUGCUGUGUCAGUUUUCAGAAAAGUCGUCACGGUGUGCAAAACGAAAUGCGACAGAAGAAGAGAGCAGCAACGGGAGCCCCGCUCCACCGAGGAAACGUUUGAGACUGUGAUGGAAACUGAAGUCUUUCCUGGAGAGUUUCCUCAAGGCUCUUUUACUUUUAAGACUGAGACUGUUCCUGUGAUCUGCUUUGGUCCAUACAGAUAAUCAGGCUGUGGACUGAUCAUCUUGCACCAGGAACAUCUACUAUAAAGCCUCGUGCUUUACAGUAAAAUUUUGAACCUCUCAUGUCUGGCUUGUGCCUGGCAAGGCAAACAACACCCCUCCAUCUGUCCCUGAAACCAUCGAAACAUGGAUGUGAGGGGACACGGCUGGCCUGAGGGGUUAUUACUGUACAUAUGUAUAUAGUUUAUGAUUAGUGAGGUACACAGGUCAGCGAUUGUUGUGCAUCUUGCACGUUUCUUGAUUUCUUGGUGCUGGCCUGUGUGUCUGAUAUGACUAUAAAGAAAAGAAGACUUUAUUAUAUAAUCAGCAUGAAAUGAACUAAAAAGCCCCAAGGACCAUUUCAAGUGUUGAUCAUCUUCUGCACUUCACAUGUGAGCAAGAAAGAAGAAAGUGAAGAGGCAAGCUGAGAAAAAGCCACAGAAAACAAUUCCCUUCAUCAAAGCUAGGAGAGGUGAUAACACUAGGAGAAAAAAACAGGAAGUAAGACUCAAAGACAACUGAGAGUCUUCAGGGGAAAGCGAACAACAGCAAGAAGUCCUCGUUCCUGUGUGGGUUCAUUCAAGCUACUCAGCUUCAUCCCACGGUCCAGAGAGAUGCCUGUUAGGCUAAACAGUGAUUCUAAAUUGGCCACAGCCGAGCGUUUUGAGACCAGUAACAGUACUUCAGAUGGUCAUUCCAAACAUGAGGAACUGUCCUUUGACUCCAUGGACAACCUCAUCCUCAGCCUGUAUAAUAACCGGGUCACCAGCUACAGGGAUUUUCAUUAUAUCCCAUUACGAGGAUUCUUCCACUUGGUCCAGAUGAUGACACCUUUUACCCAUGUGGAGCAGAGCCAGAGGGAGAAUGCUACUCCAGCUCCACUUACUGACUCACCAGCUGGUGUGAUGGUGCCACCUGCAGGCUCCUGCUUUCCUCCUCAAAUCCUGACACCAGUUAUUCCUGAGCAGGCGGAUCUUUGUGUGCUGAAGAUGUACCGGAAGAACUGUGUCCACACUCUGGAUAUCGAUGACCUCACUGUCAGCAGAGUCAUCUCCACUGUUUACUCCAUCCUCCAUCUUUCACUGAGACCCUCGAAACAUGGAUGUGAAAGGACACAGCUGGUCUGAGGGGUUUUUACUGUACAGAUGUCACCUCACAGCAAGAAGUCCCCGUUCCUGUGUGGGUUCAUUCAAGACUGGCUGCCUCUCUAGCGUUUACCCACACCUCUGGUUGCAUGACAGCUCCUGCUGAUGGAUGGAUGGACCAAUGGAUGGAUUGAUCGACGGAGGGACAGAUAGACGGAUGACAGAUCCCAAAAGAAACAUCUCACUGCAAGACCCACUCACAAGUGAAAUUGUAGCCAAUUAUCAAUUUUAGUACUUUUAGGCCCCUUUGGGUAAGUGGACAUGUAUGUUUAACAUCCCAUUAAUUAGCUGCACUGUUGUUGUAAUGUAAUUUUUUUUUUAUUAUUAUUGUAAGAGACACCAUGAAAAUAUUUAAAACUUACAAUGUU